rnacentral:rRNA from 1 species
AACGAACGCUGGCGGCAUGCCUAACACAUGCAAGUCGAACGAGACCUUCGGGUCUAGUGGCGCACGGGUGCGUAACGCGUGGGAACCUGCCCUUAGGUUCGGAAUAACUCCCCGAAAGGGGUGCUAAUACCGGAUAAUGUCUUCGGACCAAAGAUUUAUCGCCUUUGGAUGGGCCCGCGUUGGAUUAGCUAGUUGGUAGGGUAAAAGCCUACCAAGGCGACGAUCCAUAGCUGGUCUGAGAGGAUGAUCAGCCACACUGGGACUGAGACACGGCCCAGACUCCUACGGGAGGCAGCAGUGGGGAAUAUAGGACAAUGGGCGAAAGCCUGAUCCAGCAAUGCCGCGUGAGUGAUGAAGGCCUUAGGGUUGUAAAGCUCUUUUACCCGAGAUGAUAAUGACAGUACCGGGAGAAUAAGCUCCGGCUAACUCCGUG